AAACGAUUGAAGUCAGUCGUGUCCAUGGGGUUCAGCCGGUUAUGCCGGUGUAUUCCCCUUGGAUGGGUCAACAUCAGUUUGGAUCGGUGGAAAAGGGUAGUUGGAAGGUAGCAGCUCCGGCUGUGUUAUAGACUUCUGCCGCACACACUGGUCUAGACUGAGGCAUGCAGCUCGCCCUUGUGGCUGGGGUUCUCCCACAUUCGAGCUUAGGAUGUUGACAUAAUGGCUUUAAACGA
rnacentral:rRNA from 1 species